rnacentral:rRNA from 1 species
AGUAUUUAGGUUGCCUCUCAGUAAUCUUGUCUUGUCCGAAUCCAAAAGCUAAGCAGGGUUGGGUUUGAUUAGUACUUGGAUGGCAGACCACCAGGAAAUUUGAGGAUUAUAGACUG